GGUUGGUCCGAGUGCACUGGUGUUUACUACUAAUUGGUCACAACCAGUGUCAGAUUCCUUUGUUGCUUCUCCAUGCCCACUGCUUCACUUGACCAGCCAAUC
rnacentral:Y_RNA from 1 species